UAACCUCUGGCGAAAGUCGUGAAUGUUG
rnacentral:ncRNA from 1 species